CACAAGGCCACCAAGAAAGGAAGCAGGAGAACCAGUCUCAAAUCUGCCUCUCCAAAAGUGGAGACUCAGGGAAUUUAUGGGGUAGGGAGCAAGGUGGUCUGAAAUGUAAGGUUGAUGACUGGAGCAGGCCCAGUCGAUGAUUUGUUGGCCUCAGCCAGCCUGAACUGGACCAGGAGCUGACUCUCGCUUCCUGAAAAACUUGAGCAGCCCGCCUGUGAACUUGGUGACCCAAGCCCCAGAGACGUUAUCUACAGGAUCGGCUUUAGGAAAGUGAUAUCUAACUAACUACUUUUGCAAACAGACAACUGAGUACAGUGACAGAAUGACAGCCUCAUCUCGCUGAAGAAAAAUAGGAAUAUCUUUGGGCACAUAACUGAAGAGUCCAGAAGAGUGCAGACUUCAAGCAGAGAUGCGAGAUCUUGUGUCAACUGUUCAUCGAAACCUCCUCCUCUCUGUCCUGCUCUCUUUCUGCCUCACUGUCUCUAACUCUUUUUUCACUCUUUCUCCACUCCCCCUCCCCUCCGAUCUCCUCUCUUUCUCUCCAUGUCUCAAAUCUGCUUUUCCUGGUGUUGGUUUUAUUCUCUGGAAAUUUCGUUCCCCUCGUAAAAUAGAUGGUAUCUUACAGUGCUCCAGGAAUA
rnacentral:lncRNA from 1 species